rnacentral:rRNA from 1 species
AUGAAUCUGAAGAAUCCAGUCCUUCAAACAAAACUAAUAACAAAUCUGAUAAAGAAUGCUCCUGACUUUGGCCUAGACUUGUUCAUCCGGAGCCGACAGCCUGCGCCUGCAGAGAGGGCACAUCUCGCUCUCCUUGAGGGCGAGCACGAGGCAUUCGCCAUGGAAGACGUGGGGCAGGAGGCACCCGGACCACACGGCGACGUCGCUCUUGAGCAGCUCGAAGCAGAUGGGGCAGCUUUCUUCGACGAACUUCCCUCGCUUUGCCGGCCGCUCGCAGUCCGUGUCCUCGCCGUCGGCGGCCUCUGCUUCGUCCGCGCAAGCGCAAGGCACGUGCACGGGCUCCGGCAGGCGCAACUCCAUGCCGACAUGGUACCCGGGCCAUGGCUCCUCUACCAUGUCCUGCAGCGCGGUGGACACGUCGCUCAUGCGUUUCUGCGUGUAGUCCUCACGCCGGAGGAUGCCGACGUCAGCGAUCAACUUGACACGCGUGGCCUUCAGCGGGAUGCCAUUGCUACCAUCGCUCGAGAUCAUCCUGGGCCAAAGGGCCUGGAGCUCGCUGCUCUGGCAAGAGGGGUAUAUCAGCGGCGCCAGGGACGACCAGGCCCACCGCAGCGAGCCCGCCGGCGACGCGGCGGCCGGGACGGCGAACCGGAGAUAGUGCAGCUUCGUGCUCCCGCAGACCUCCACGCCGUCGGGGACCGCCGAGAAAUGGGUGUAGCGGUAGAGCACCAAGAUCUGCUUACCUCCUCCUUGUCCUUGGCUAUCAGCGGCCGGUAG